rnacentral:rRNA from 1 species
UCCGCCCGCUGGCGGCGUGCUUAACACAUGCAAGUCGAACGGAAAGGCCCUGCUUUUGUGGGGUGCUCGAGUGGCGAACGGGUGAGUAACACGUGAGUAACCUGCCCUUGACUUUGGGAUAACUUCAGGAAACUGGGGCUAAUACCGGAUAGGAGCUCCUGCUGCAUGGUGGGGGUUGGAAAGUUUCGGCGGUUGGGGAUGGACUCGCGGCUUAUCAGCUUGUUGGUGGGGUAGUGGCUUACCAAGGCUUUGACGGGUAGCCGGCCUGAGAGGGUGACCGGCCACAUUGGGACUGAGAUACGGCCCAGACUCCUACGGGAGGCAGCAGUGGGGAAUAUUGCACAAUGGGCGGAAGCCUGAUGCAGCAACGCCGCGUGCGGGAUGACGGCCUUCGGGUUGUAAACCGCUUUCGCCUGUGACGAAGCGUGAGUGACGGUAAUGGGUAAAGAAGCACCGGCUAACGACGUGC